rnacentral:snoRNA from 1 species
UUCCACAGCUACUGGUCUGCAGCUGUUCUUAGGUAGCAACUGCAGCAUUCCUCUGUGGGAAAAAAAAGAUGUUACACAAAUAAACACCACUUUCUUAGCCAAACAGAAAGUGGGCAUGUGUGUGACAAACACAA